UACGGGGGGAGCAAGCGUUGUUCGGAUUUACUGGGCGUAAAGGGCGCGUAGGCGGCCAGCACAAGUCAGUUGUGAAAUCUCCGGGCUUAACUCGGAAAGGUCAACUGAUACUGUGCGGCUAGAGUGCAGAAGGGGCAACUGGAAUUCUCGGUGUAGCGGUGAAAUGCGUAGAUAUCGAUAGGAACUCCGGUGGCGAAGGCGGCAUACUGGUCCACUUCUGACGCUGAGGCGUGAAAGCCAGGGGAGCAAACGGG
rnacentral:rRNA from 1 species